rnacentral:rRNA from 1 species
GACAGAGGGUGCAACCGUUGUUCGGAUUUACUGGGCGUAAAGCGUGCGCAGGCGGUUCUGAAAGUCAGCUGUGAAAGCCCCGGGCUUAACCUGGGAAUGGCGGUUGAAACUACAGGACUAGAAUCUGGCAGAGGGGGGUGGAAUUCCACGUGUAGCAGUGAAAUGCGUAGAGAUGUGGAGGAACACCGAUGGCGAAGGCAGCCCCCUGGGCUGAGAUUGACGCUCAGGCACGAAAGCGUGGGGAGCAAACAGG